UUGUCCAGCAUUAAAGUGUCUGUUCUCAGGGUUUAUCCAGCAUCAAAGAUGGCGACAGUCAAUUUUGUUUUGUGGGUGAAAGUUUAUUUAUGACAGCUAUGUUGGCUGGAAUCUGGUUCCUGCAAAUGUUUUCCAUUACUCAGAGUUGACAUUAUUGAGUUGACCCAUGGUUCUGGUCCAUGGUUUUGACAGUAACAGAUUGACAGCAAGAAAUUUCACCCUCACUGUACAUGUGCAAAGGGCUGUGGUUAUACCAACCUCACAGCACAUCUUGACUUGGAACCAGGAUUGAUGAUCUUAAGAAGUUGUGAUUAUCCUUUGAGAGCUGUGGAUCUCAGAGGUGGUGCUCCUAAAUGAUGAGAUUGAAGAUGCGACCAUCUCUGGGAACCUGGGCUGGAGGAUUGGGAUGGCAUCAACUGAAACAAUUGCAAAGAGAAAUUGUUUAGAAGAAACAGUGUGGGGUAUAUAUAUGUGUGUGUGUUUAUUGGAGGGAUGGAGAUUCACCAUCCAUAACUAAUGGAGAGACUGAAAAAUACAAAAAUGCAAUAAAUUCCUCUAUAGAAGGAAGGAAUUCAUUGUAAGAUAAUUAUAUUAUAAAACUAUAGGAGUCCAGGUAUAUGCUAAUCUUGCUAAUAUUUUAGAGGUGCUCAAAAAGCUAACUCAGGAUAUUUCUAAUGAUUGGUUUCUGUAACCUUGAAUUAAAUUAAACCUUAAUCAUAUCAAAUUCCUAACUCAUCCCUGAGGCUACACUCUAGAAGACUGACCUACUAUCUCAGUCUACUUGUUUUGCCAAUAACAAUCAAUUAACAUGUAUCAAACAAGCUUAGAUGCCUUAGGCCAUAUGCACUCUUGGUUUUGGGUGUUAGCUAUACCUAUUUCUUGGUUAGGAUCCAGCAGUUUGUAUCUUGUGAUGAUUACCUAACUUGUCAGACCACCUUUGUCCUUUCCUCCCUUUUUUUGUAACCCCAAGUGAAGAUUAAAUUUAACUCCCUUGAUUGUGAAGACUGCCUAUUUUUAGAUUUAAUCUAAAAUUAAAAAGUGUAAACACCCUACUUACAGUAGUGGGGAGAUCUGCCCAUAUUCUAGAUUUAAUCACCAAAGGUGUAAACAGCUCAUUUCACACAUUAAGUGGGAGGUCUGUGACCCACAUGUGAAAUAGUGGGUGACAAAUCAAAAUCAACUGACUACCCCUGUGCAGUCUUAAAAGCAAAAUAUCAACUGUAAUUAGUAAAUGUAAAAAUGAGAGGAAGUGACACAAAAGAAAGUGCUUUUAAAAGGGAGUGGCAACUGCCCCAGUGCAGUUCAACUCGGAAAUUUCACUUAGAAUGGAACCUUCUGGGAGAGAGAGUUCUACUGGAGUUCUACUGGCAGUUCUUCAUUCUAAGAAGUGGAGGCUGGUGAAAAAUGUGCUGACUGAACCCGAGACCCUGUUUCCUGGUGAGGCUGUUCUAAAAUCUCUUCCUGUAAACUGACAUGUGAUGAGUCAAAAAUCUGACUCUUAACUGAUGGAUUUUUCUGAAGAGACUUCCCCAAGUCCUUGGCUUUGCCAAGGCAAGCUAAGGGCCAAUUCUCCCUGCCCUGGUUUUGAGCCAGGGGCCGGAAGUAAAUUAUUUGGUGCUUAAGCUACAUAUCUAAUCUCUCUAUGAUUUUCUUAUUUCACUCUUUCUAUGUUUUGUAAAUAAAUUGUAAAUAAAUCUCUUUGGAAUAAAUAUAAAUUCCUGGUGACCACAUUCUUAAAUAAUACAUUAAAAAUAACCCUCUUUCCCCCCCCUCACACCCAAUAAAAAUGAGUAAGUCUGAACAUGAGGAAACUCUUCUCCACCAUAACUCUUGACCACCAAGGCUUUAUACCAUCAGAGCUCUCUUCCACAGAAGCUCUAUUCCACCAGAACUAACUCGAUGUCUGACUACUUCAUGUCAGAACUUUCUUUGUCUUUGUGUCUUUCUUCUCACCUUAUGCUCUCUUUCCCAUUUUUUCUCAGUCCCUGGUUCCCCUUUUUGAGUAUUUUAUCCACUAGGAACUUUUGUGAAGUCUGUGGACAUCUUCAAAAACUUCAGUAAGAGAAAAUUACCCAGGAAUAAUUAUAAAACUCUAGAAUCUCAAGGGAAAUAAUAAAGAAAAAAGUAAAAAUUAAAAGUAAGUUACACACUGCGUUUGAAAGCCCUAAAGUCUCUUAAAUGUAUCCUAGUCAACCAACUCUCUACCAACUCUCAAAUACUAGAGGGAAGAGAUCAUCCCAUUUACUCAAUGCAAUCCACAACUUCCAUUAGUUAUCAGAGCAACCUAAGGUAGUCCUGAGCUUCUAACCUUUCUCAGAAAUGCUCAUUCUUUGACCCAUCCCAUUCUCUCAAGAUAUCUCAAUUGGGCAGUAGGAGAGUGAAAAUAUCCAAUGAAACCAGACAGUUGUAUAUGCUUUCUCACCUCUAUCUGACUUUUCAUAUUCCCAUUUCUUUGAAAUUUUAUCUCUCAGCAGUCCUCCACCUACAGAAAUAUUAUCUAUUUUUUCAAGUCCCAAAUGAUACUCCAACCAUAAAAUGUUCUUGAGUUCUAUCAUUUUUUUCUUUAAAAAAUCCUUUCUAUGUUAGAAUCAUAGUAAGUAUUGGUUUCAAGGCAGAAGAAUGGUAAUGACUAGGCAACUGGGGAUAGGUGCCUUGCCCAGGGUCACACAGUUAAGAACUCUGUUCCUUCAUUUUUGAUGUGAUCCUCUCUAACAAAAUUUACUUUAUUUUCUUAUGAUUAAUUGUGCAUUUGUCUCAAUUCUCCUACUAGGCUCUAAACAUCUUGAGAAUAGGGUAGGUAUCUUACUUAUCUUUGUUUUUGUAUGCAUCUACUAAGGAACCAGGUACAUAGUGAGCAAUUAGUCAAUGUAUCAAUCACAAAGCAUUUACUAAUAUGCUUACUAUGUAUCCAGUAUUGUGCUAGGGGCUAGAAUUUUAAAGAAAGGCAAAACAUUUUUCCUUUCUUUCAAGCAGCUUUUAUUCUAAUAUGGAAAAGAGCAAAUGAUUAUAGACAUGAUUGUAUAUUUUGUUUAUAUAUAUAUGUGUACAUACACACACACACACACACACACACAUAUAUAUAUAUAUAUAUAUAUAUGUUGUAAGUACUAAAUAAACUUUGAAUUAUUUGCUUCAUAUUUAACUAAAGAUUUUCAGAUUUAGUCCUGCCAGAAAAAGGAGAAAAACUAAAAUCAGAAGAAAUGGAAACUGACAAACAUGUAGCCUCUUUAUUUACAGCCUGGCAAUAAAUGGGGAUGUAGAAAAGCCUGUUUCAGCCUUUCCUCUUGCUAAAGAAACAAACUGAACUUGUAAGUUGGUGCGGGGGGAGGGGAGAAAAGCAGCCCACAGGGAAGAAAUCAUCAUAAAGCAAUUCAGAACUAUCAGGGCUGCUCCAGAUGCCAGCAGGAAGUCGAGAAUGCAAGAGUUAUUUCUUUUAUGGUCGGGAAGUUCAGAAAGGCAUCAACGGGGCAGUUCCUUCUUAAUGCCAGUACUGACAAUUGGAUGCAACAGGUAAAAAGAGCAAGUUUAAUCCUAGCCAGUCCUAACUCAAUGACUAGACAGGAACAUUUAGUUUCUUGUCUUAAAAUUUAAUAAAUCAUAUAAUAUAGGGGAGUUUUUCAAUAUAUGAUUGCUAUAGAAAGAAGGAGAAAAUAUUAACAGAAAAAAUUAGUAGAUCAAGACAUACAUUUUAAUUUUCUAUUUCUUUUUUGGUGGUUAUUCUAGAGUUUGUAAUUCUUUAAAAUUCUGAAAAUAUCUAUAAUCACUAUUUUCUCCCCUUCCCAUAGUUUUCAGUUGUUUAAUGUCACCCAAUGGCACAUUAUAAUUCAUGAAACAAAUAUCCCUUAUUCAUUCUAUAGGUGUCAUCCCUCAAAACCAUAUGCCACAAUUUGGCUUCCUACUACUACAUCCCAUAUAAGAACGAACUCCCACUAUGACAUACCUAACAAGUGGUCCAGUCUCUGCUUGAGAACUUCCAAAAAAAGGGAAGUCAUCGUCUCUCUAUGGCAGCUCAUUCAAUUUUUUGGCAGCUCUAAUUCGUAGGGAAAAUUUUUUCAAGUCAAAAAUUUCCUCUUGGAAGUUUCUACCCAUUGUCUCUGGUUUUACCCUCUGAGACCAAACUAAACAAGUAGAAUCCUUCUUCCACAUGACAGCCCUUCAAAACUUAAAGAAAGUUAUCAUAUGCUUUCUGAGUCUUUUCUCCAGGACAAGCAUAUGCAGUUUCUUCUGCUACUUCUCAAAAAGCAUAGCCUCAAGUACUUCAUCAUCCUAUUUGCUGCCUGGGAAUGUUCUCCAUCUUAUCAAUGCUCCUCUUAAACUGUAUGGCCUACAAUUAAACUCAGUUUUCCCUAAGAAUUUUGGCAAAGACCAAAUAUAAUGGAAUUAUUGCCUCCCUCUUCCUGGAAGCUAGAUUCCCCCUAACAUAACCCAGAACUUUUUGGGAUAUCACAUAUCAUUGACCCAUUUUGAUGUUGGAACUUACUAAAAACUCUAGAUCAUUUUUUGAAAUAUCGGAAUCUAUUCAAGUAUUCCCAUCUUAUGUUUGUGGAAUUUAUUUUUUGUACCUAAAUUCAAGAAUUUACAUUUAUUCCUUUUGAUUUUCAUCAUAUUAAAUUCAGCUCAAUGUUCCAGCUUUUCAGAUCCUUUUGGAUACUGAUUUUCAUGCAUUGUGCAAACUUUUCCUCUUAAGAUUGUCAACUAAAACUUGAUAAACAUAUCAUCUAGGUCUUUAUUAGAAUCAUUGAUAAAAAUGUCAAAUGAUAUAGAGCAAAGUUCAAACUAUUUUGGUAGUAAGUUGUUAGCAACUACUUUUUGAAUCUAGCCAUUUAACCAGUUCUGAAUUCAUCUAAUAUUGUUACCAAAUCCAUAUUUUCAUCUUCAUGAAAAUAAUAUGAAAUCUAUGUUGUUAAUAAUAAUUUUUCAAAGAGAUGUGCUAAAAUCUAGGUAAACCAUAACUUCAACUUUUCCCUUAUCAACUAGUUUAGUGAUCUUGUCAAAAGAAAAAGCAAUGGAGUUAACUUAUGAUGAUCUGUUAUUGGUAAAAACGGGUUUUCAUUGCAAUUAUCCUUUCUUUUCCUGUAUAAUCACAAACAUUAUUUUCAUAAUUAAAAAUAAUUUUCCCAGUAAUAGAAGUCAAGGUCAUGGCUUCAUAGAUUGUAUAAUCUCUUUUCUUCUCUUUUUGGAAAUUUGUAACAUAUUUUAUCUUUUUUUAAUCUUGUAAUUUAUCUCCUAUUUUCCAUAAUAUUCCCAUACCAUUGGCAAUGUCUAUCCAAACCUAUUUGUCAGUCCUUUGAGGGGUGAGGCAUGUAGUUUAUCUAGUUCAGGUGAUUUGAAUUCAUAAAUGGCAGCAAAGUACUCCCUUACUAUCUCCUUGCUUAUCAUUAAUAUCAACUUCUAAAUAGUAAAUUUUUUGUUCUGUUAUUUCCACUACAAAAGUGAUUUUACUGUGCAGAGGAAACAGAUAAAAAGUUCAGCAGCUCUCUCUUCCUUUUCUCUAUUUUCAUUUAUGUUGCCCUAUUAUAUUCAAAAUAAAAGGAUAGAACUCAUAUUCAUUAUUUAUUUCAUAUCUCAUUGCCCCACUUUGAUCUUUCUUUUUAUCUCUCAAAAUUAAAAUCUUUCCUGAAGAUUUUUUUCCACUAAUCUCUCAUUCUCUAUUUUAGCAUUCCUCAUAAUAUCUUCAUCAGACUCUUCUAAACUACAUAUGUCUCGAGACUCAUCUGGGCUUACUUGACUUUAAUUCCAUGAACUAUCUAUAAGUCAAUGCUGAUUAGGAAAUUCUGUGGGAAUUCCUAUCAAUUUCUUCUGUCAAAUGGCAUUUUUCCCCAAAGGAAAACUAAAACAACUAAAGCUCUGAUAAUUCAUACUGGAGAAUUGGAGGUGGAAUUAUAAAUAAACAUAAAAAAACACUGACAAUAAAGAAAAUUGAAGGCUCCAGUAAAAUAAGGCAAAAACAUAGAAGAGAAUGAUUCUACAAUGGCUGAAGGCAGAGUCUCUGAUAUGUUGGCUAAAAAAUCUAUUGACAAUUUUUUUUUCCAAAGUGACCAUUUUAAUGGUGUAUUUAUCAAAAAGAUAUUUUGGCUGGAAGUAUUGACAAUUUUUAAAGGAUAUUUUAAAUGACAAUCAAGAGAAGAAUAAACAAUUACUACAGGAAGUAGAAUAUUAUAGCCAAGAAAUGGACUUGAUGAAAAUUAAAAUGGUUUGAGUAGAAAUCAAUGAUUCCAUCAGGUAACAAGAAAUACAAGAAACUCAAAAUAUUUUUUAAAAAAGAAGAAAGUUAAGCUAUCUUCCAUCAAAAAUAGCUAAAAUAGAAAAAAGGUCAAGGACAGACAAGUGAGAGGACUACAAAAAGUGAAAAAGUGAUAUUGGGUAUAUUUUCCACUAAUUGUCCUUUGGUCUUAGAAAAAAAAAGUCCAUCUAGUUUGCUCUCAGUAAAUUUACAACCAUCUUAUUCAUAUAGAACUCUUUUUUAAAAAACCCUUAUCUUAGAAUCAAUAUUAAGUAUUGUUUCCAAAGCAGAAAAGCAAUAAGGGUUGGGUAAUUGAGUUUAAGUGGCUUGCCUAAGGGUCACACAGGUAAAAAGUGUCUGAGGUCAAAUUUGAACCCAGGACUUUCCAUCUAAGUCUGGCUUUCCAUUCACUGAAUCACCCCACUGCCCUCUAGAAUUACUCUUUCAUAGAAACACUAGAUAAUACUAUGUAGAGCUAGAAGAGAUUUUAGAAAUUAGUCUAAUCUAACUCCUUCAUUGUAUCCUCAGAUGCUCAAAAAGACGUAUGACCUGAUCAAUUCAAUCAUUUCUUUCAGGGAAACAAAUUAUAACCCAUCAAUGCUUGCUUAGAGUUUGAGAUUUGUCAAUAUCCUAUAAUUUUGUCAUAGGGUAAUCUUCCAAUGUCCUGUAGGAUGUGAAACUUUCUUGCUUUUCCUUUGGACCAUUCAAUGGUGAUUCUUCAUUCUUAUUGCAUCAGUAGGCCAUUUUUUUUCACUCAUAUAUUUCUUAGAUGUCAGGCUUUUUUGCUGAAUCUUUUUUGUAGUUCUCUAUUUCAUAUUUUGGGGGCAUGUUCAAACUUACCACAUGAAUUUCCUUUGCCCUUAGAGAAUGUUCUAUUUUAAUUCUUCAGAAAUUAUUGUGUUCAAUCACUCACAGCUAUGGAAUGACAGUGGUAGUGUAUUAGUAUUAAAGAAAAGGAUCUUGGUUUCAAG